AAAGUAUCGUUUUACGUCUUUAAAGAAAAAGAAAAAUUUAGGUAAAUUAGAAACCAGUAGAUUAAUGUGAUACAUUUAAUUUACUAUCAAAAAUAACACUCAGAUUUAUACUCUUCCACUUAUUCUAAAACUUUUUACUUAAUAAUUAUUUUUCCGUUAUACGAUUUAGACAUAGUUAAAGAACACAAUAUAUUAUUUUCGAUAUUUUAUCAUGUAUAUAUGUUCUGAGUAAAUUAAGGAAAAUGUUAAAAUCCGUUCGGGGGCUCCCCAUUUUACUGCACGUGUACACAAUACACUACACAUAGUAUAUAGUGUAGCUACAAUAGUAGUACAACUAUUUCGCGCAUAUUCUAAAUAAAGCGUGAAUUACCA